UUUGUGUCCCUGUGUACUUGAGAUUAGGGA
rnacentral:piRNA from 1 species